CCUACGGGGGGCAGCAGUGAGGAAUAUUGGUCAAUGGCCGAGAGGCUGAACCAGCCAAGUCGCGUGAGGGAAGACGGCCCUACGGGUUGUAAACCUCUUUUGUCGGGGAGCAAAGCGAGUCACGUGUGACUCAUUGAGAGUACCCGAAGAAAAAGCAUCGGCUAACUCCGUGCCAGCAGCCGCGGUAAUACGGAGGAUGCGAGCGUUAUCCGGAUUUAUUGGGUUUAAAGGGUGCGCAGGCGGAGGUGCAAGUCAGCGGUCAAAUUGCGGGGCUCAACCCCGUACUGCCGUUGAAACUGCAGCCCUUGAGUGCGCGAGAAGUAUGCGGAAUGCGUGGUGUAGCGGUGAAAUGCAUAGAUAUCACGCAGAACUCCGAUUGCGAAGGCAGCAUACCGGCGCGCAACUGACGCUCAUGCACGAAAGCGUGGGUAUCGAACAGGAUUAGAUACCCCAAUAGUC
rnacentral:rRNA from 1 species